GCAUAUAAACUUCAAUAAAAAUGUUAAUUGCAUAUAUGGUAAUGUGAGUAGAUAAAUUUGCCGCCAAGAAUACUGUAGUUAAAGGCAAGUUUUCAAUGUCAGCAGCUACUGUUCCAUGAAAACAAUCAAAUCCACAUGAUAAAAAUGAAUCCAAGAGAAGCUGAUCUAGAUCAAAGUCUAGAGGAGAAAAAAGUGAUAAUAUUUGGAAAAGAUGUUGCUAAAAUUCCAUGCUUUAGAACGAGUUGGUUAUAUGGUAUUACUGGUGGAAUUGGCAUGGGAGUACUGACAUUUAUGUUUACAAGUAGAAUUAGAUUAGCAGGACAUGUGACGAUGGGAUCAAUAUGUGGUAUUACAUUAGUAACUUUCUCAGUUUGUCGUUAUCAAUAUACUAAAGAUGAAUAUUUAGCAAGUCAAGUGAGAAGUUUAAUAAACGAAUCAAGGUUAUUGGUGGAUGUCGAUCACGAAGCAGUAAUUAAAGAAACACAACGUAUUCUCAACAGGGAUGACUAAAACUAUUAAAAAAAAAUAUCUACUUAAAAAUUUAGUCAAAUUAUCAAUUGUUUUAAUACACAAAUCAUUAUAAACAUGUGAAAUAGUAAAGAAAAUUUUCUUAAAGCAAUUUGCUAUGAAUAAUAUGUGCACUUGGGAAAUUGUACAAAAUAUCAUUAAUUAUUUUAAUGAGAAAAUGAAUGAUGUUGGAAGAUAAGAAGUAUGAUAAUAAUUUUAUUAGCAGAAACGCUUUAAAUAAAAUGUUACUGCUUUAUGUAAAUAAUCGACAACUAUCAAGCCCUUCUCUAUGUUUGAUUUGAAAAUUUUCGAAAUAUUUCUCAAUAAAAUAUUUUAUUGUAAAAUUAUGAAAAUUUCAGAAAGGUUAAGGGAACGUUAAAGUAUUUUAUGACUAAACCAUCAAAUUAUUCAAAUUAUCAAGAGGAUACCGAUUGAUUGAAGGACAAUAUGAGAUGACUAUUCAGAAGUUUGAAGUAUCUAACAACUAUUGAGUUAGAUUAAAUAGAGGAAAAUUGGUAAUAUAUUUUAUUCAUCCAGAACAAAGACUCAUUGACAGAUGAUUUCUUGAGAAGAUAAACAUCUUGCUUUCUAAAUAGUCGGACGAUUUCAUAUCUUGGCAGUAAUACCUUUUGGCGCCUUGAGGCACUAAUUCUUUUUCAAUCGAUUAUUGAAAACAAACUUGUGGGCUUUUAAUUUGGCUGCUUUAAAGGUUCGCGUGCGGUAACGCGAACCCAUUAAGUGCCUCCAUCUCAAUGUCGCUUGUUACGCGAGGCGUGUUGUCAGAAAAUUUCUCUCCGGAUACAGUGGACUUUCACCGAAUUCACUAUCUCCCCAUACGAGUUAAUCGUUCAGGAGAUGAACAUAAGGCGUCACAGAUUUUAAUGCAAAAACACCGCGGACUUGUAUUUCAUCUCAGAGUCAAAAAAAAUUCAUUUUUGCAAAUAAUGAGCAAUGUCUGGCCUUUCGGGGCAAUAAAUUAUUUUUAAAAAAUA